rnacentral:rRNA from 1 species
GAUGAACGCUGGCGGCGUGCUUAACACAUGCAAGUCGAGCGAAGCAGUUAAGAAGAUUCUUCGGAUGAUUCUUGACUGACUGAGCGGCGGACGGGUGAGUAACGCGUGGGUGACCUGCCCCAUACCGGGGGAUAACAGCUGGAAACGGCUGCUAAUACCGCAUAAGCGCACGAAGCUGCAGGGUUUUGUGUGAAAAACUCCGGUGGUAUGGGAUGGGCCCGCGUCUGAUUAGGCAGUUGGCGGGGUAACGGCCCACCAAACCGACGAUCAGUAGCCGGCCUGAGAGGGCGACCGGCCACAUUGGGACUGAGACACGGCCCAAACUCCUACGGGAGGCAGCAGUGGGGAAUAUUGCACAAUGGGGGAAACCCUGAUGCAGCGACGCCGCGUGAGCGAAGAAGUAUUUCGGUAUGUAAAGCUCUAUCAGCAGGGAAGAUAAUGACGGUACCUGACUAAGAAGCCCCGGCUAACUACGUGCCAGCCGCCGCCGUAAAAC